CACACACACACACACACACACAAUUAUUUAUACACAACAGGUCAGUUUUGUAACUCUAGUCCCCUCAAAUGCUAAACUAAAAGUGUACCACAAGACUAACAAAUCUAUAUGUCUUUGAUAUUCAUGAUACAUGGCAAUCAUAUAGUAUCUUUUCAAAGUUGUGCAGACUGAAUUUGAUUUUGAGCAACUACUGUAAGUUAUCUGAAAAAAGUAUGUCAUUUUUAGCUCAUUGAUAUUGAAGGUACAACUCAUAUCUCUGGGGUAAAAUCGAACAGAAAUAUGCCAUCGAUCUCUCUUUUUUCCUUUCCUCGUUCCCCCUGUUCCCCCACCUAUCUUUCCGUGUUUGUAGAUACUCCAUCACCUUGUCUUUCUGAGCCCUGGGAAAAGCAUCGUCAGUAUUUCAGCACCACUGUCCUCCACCCAUGCUGCCUUUCUCCCAGAAUUCAUGGUGCCUUACUUAAUCAAAGCAGAAGAGAGCAAGACGAGAGAAAGGAAAAGAUUCAGAAAGAGAAAAAGAUACAAGGGCCGCUAGCUGUAGACAGAAGGAAUGCCUUAAGAAGCAAUUAGCAUAUGUACCCCCCCACCCCCCCCCCCUGAAAUGGGAUUAUUUCAGUGAGUUUGUAUUGAUGUUUUUGAACAGGCUCUAUGGCAAAGCAUUUAAUGCUGAACACUGCUGUUAGAGAGAAUGCAUUAUUAAUGUGAGGGGAAACUAACGGGGACCAGCAGCUCCUCUGGGCUGUGAAGAGGACGGUUGGCGUCUCUGAGGAAGCAACACCACGCCUCAAAGGUCUUCCUCAGUAAUGCACACAUGCCAGGCAUCUAUCAUUUAUUCAUGACAGUCAGGCGCCUCCAACUCCCUCGAACAAUUAACGAAUCAAUGAAAUGUAUGGGCUCAGAAACUAUCAAUUCGGGGAAACAGCGCCGUUUGUCAACGUGUCAGCUCUUGGGCACAGGCUAUCAUUCAGGCAGAGAGCACAUUUAUCACUUUAGAAACAGCCUGCGUGUCAUAGCAACGCGGAUAAUCCUACUACAAAAUGGCUGCCCGAUUCUGAUGGAUGAUUGGACUUCUUUAAUAACAAUCGCCCGUGACUGCUUUUAUUAAUUUAUUUAACAUGCACUCCAACAUAAUGAAUGGAGUUUUUCAAGGAGUCUCUGGAAUCUGUUUUCUUGUAAAUAAACAGCAGCGUGUUUUGUUCAGUUUGAGGGAACAAAUCUUGUCCAAGUGGCCAGUUUAAUUUCAAAUCGAGUUCAUCUUAAAAGAUUGUAGGCUGAACAAUUCAACAACUAAUGUCUCCGAGCUGUAAAAGUAAACGUGGGCGAAGAGAAUGAGAGGAGGAGAAAAAGAGUGAAAUUGAUGAAUUACUUGUGCUGCUUUAUACACUACAUUGCCUUCGCCAUUCCCGUUCAAUUAACAAAACCAUUAAUUAUAGUACUUAAGCAAGCCGGGGUAAACCAGACAAGCAAGCAUUCAUGCACUUAACACACAUUCCUGCGUAAGCAUUUAACGUUCCUCUUUUAAAAAUCACUCCAUCAUCAUUCCUGAAAUACUGAAUCAUUAAAAUGUCUAUUUCUUUUUCUGGAAGAAUAAAACGGCACCGGUGCUGAAAAAAACAUGAACUAUUUUCUGCAUUUGGAAAUACUGUGUAUUUUAGUAUGCAUUCUUGUCUUGAGUGCCGGCUUAGCCAUAGAAAUGACUCUUCCUUUGUAAUUUCCCCCCCUUUUCUGGUCUUUCUUUUAUUUUGUAUCUUUUUAUGGCUUUGCUUGAAUAGUCUCACUUGAAACACAAAGCUCUUGCUGUUCACUGAAUCCUCAGUUUUGAUGUUCUUUUUCCCUGCAGAAAUCACAGCCCUGAAACUCCAGAUGAAGACUAGACCUUUAUUCUGUAUGUGGAGAGAGCUGUCUUUUCAAAGAGAAAAAGGGGAGAGUUUUCAAGACCUCCAAUCUGCUGCUCUCCUCAUCAACACCCAGUCCCUGUGAAAUCAUCAAAAAGCAAAGACAGUGGGAAAAAAAAUCACAUCUUUUCAUACUGACUCAGGGCUCAGAGUUUCAGUAUUAACUGUCGUCCCUGGAGGAAGAGUCUUCCACUAGAUAGGCACAGGGGUCAGAUGUCACCUGUCCUCCCAGGCGAGUGGAGCACUGGUGGGGCUAAGACUCAAGCAAGGCAGGCUGCCCUGGUUCUCUCUCUCUCUGCCUGGCUGGCUGGAGACACCUGCUCCUCGCUUCACUGGUGAUGGCCCCCAGUGGUGCUUUUUACGUCUACUUUCACAUGCACAAGCAUCCUGAAGCACUGCGGGUGUGCUAGUGGAUAUAUAGCUUGGAUGAAUAUGCAAAAUGUUUCAAAUCCCUGAGCUGCGGAGGAUUUUAAGGCAAAUCUAGUCGGAGUGGGCGGCCGUUUCAUCACACAAUGAGGCAUGAAAACAUUGGCUAAUUCAAGCCUAAGGGCUGCACACAUUUACCUAAAUGAAAGCCCUGGCCCCCAGUUGGCUGGAUGGAUCUCGGGGGAAAAGCAGCGAGCCCCUGCCUGGGAAGGAGCCUUCCGCCUGGGCUACUGCCGAGUUCUGUGAACACCUUACCAUCAUCUUCAGACACUGCUCGCGAGGUGCACGUUUACAGGGAAGAGGAGAAAAGAAGAGAAGAGGAAGAGAACAGAAUGCUAGCCAAGGUUUUAACGAAAUAUACAGGCUAAAGAAAAAAGCAAGAGGUGGAAGAAAAGAGAAAACUGGACUGCCACAGUAAUAGAGAGCCGUGUGCUUACGUUCACAUUCGCUCUACACACACACACACAAACACGCACGCACACAGUCAGUGCAAGCCCCAGAUGGGCAAGUCAUCAAGCAAGCUCAGCAGUUACAGCUAUCUUGCUUUGAGUAAAUGAGAAAAUGAAAUGAUUGUGCGUGGGAGAGGGAGAGAGAGCGAGUCUAGUCUCUCAUCCAUUACAGUACGCCCGGUGAGCAAAAAGGUUCUGCCUUCAGCUAGCAGCCGUUUAACUGGACCUAAAUGCUCAAUCCCUGCACAUUCAUUUAGACCUGUCAGCUGCCACAUUUAGAAGCAGGGACACACCGAUAAAACAUAGAAAUGUUACACACGACAGAAUUACACACUUAGAGAAGUGAGGUGACAGAAGAAGAAAAUCCAAUUCCUUUACCUCA